GAGGGGGGGGCUUUUCUUUCUCUCCACUGUAAAGUGGAGGAGAGGCUCAGCAUUUAGAGUAGAGCCAAAGUGGAUGGGCUAAAUAUAGCUCAGAGCCAGGGAAAGGAAUCCCAGGCAAAAUUGGAGACGGACCAAAGAGAGAGGCCCAGAGGAUGUCUCUGCCGUGAUUUAAAUGCAAGACAGCCAAAAACUCAGAGGAGGAAUCAACAUUCCAGGACACGUACGUUGAUAAGCUACACUACAGCAGCCUAUGAACCAAGGUGUGAAGUAUUUCUAACCUUUCAUGUUAGAUUGUCAGCAGGAGAACACCGCAAGAAUCUGAAAUCAGCAAGAGCAUCUGAAACAAGAGAAUCCACUGAAAGACUGCACAGAAGUUUUUGCAUAGGAAGUAGCUCUCCGUAUGAUAGAUCCAGUCUGCCGUUCUUAGUGCCUUCCCAUCCCCAUGCAUCUUCUGAACUCUGAUGUGCUCAUUACUGAACACAUAUAUAUUCAUUCAUAUAUAAUGAAGUAGAACUUGGAAUUCCAUACCCUACAAUCACUCUUCUACUUGGCCUAAUCAAGUUAAGUGCAAUUUUUAAAAAAGCAUAUAAUUUACAUUAUUAUUUAAUAUUGCCUAUUUAAAAUU